GCCCGAGUGGGGUAGUAUGGAUUAUCCUGGAGGCCUGCGGAGCCUCUGACCCGGGUUCAAAUCCCGGCUCGGGCA
rnacentral:tRNA from 1 species